rnacentral:tRNA from 1 species
GGGUCUGUAGCUCAGUUGGUUAGACACGCUUGAUAAGCGUGGGUCACAAGUUCAAGUCUUGUCAGACCCACCA